rnacentral:misc_RNA from 1 species
GAUGAAGAACGUAGCGAAAUGCGAUAAGUAAUGUGAAUUGCAGAAUUCAGUGAAUCAUCGAAUCUUUGAACGCACAUUGCGCCCCUUGGUAUUCCGAGGGGCAUGCCUGAUCGAGCGUCAUUAUAACCCCUCAAGCUCAGCUUGGUGUUGGGGCCUGCUGCACUGGCAGCCCUUAAAAUCAGUGGCGGCGCCAUCUGGCUCUAAGCGUAGUAAUUCUUCUCGCUAUGGAGUCCUGGUGGAUGCUUGCCAUCAACCCCCAAUUUUUCUAUGGUUGACCUCGGAUCAGGUAGGGAUACCCGCUGAACUUAAGCAUAUCAAUAAGCGGAGGA